UACGUAGGGUGCGAGCGUUGUUCGGAAUUACUGGGCGUAAAGGGCGCGUAGGCGGUCUUGUAAGUCUUGUGUGAAAUCCCUCGGCUCAACUGAGGAACUGCACGGGAUACUGCGAGACUUGAGUUCGGGAGAGGGAAGCGGAAUUCCGGGUGUAGCGGUGAAAUGCGUAGAUAUCCGGAGGAACACCGGUGGCGAAGGCGGCUUCCUGGACCGAUUUACUGAGCUGAGGCGCGAAAAGCUAGGGGGAGCAAACGGGG
rnacentral:rRNA from 1 species